rnacentral:rRNA from 1 species
GGGGAAUAUUGCACAAUGGGGGAAACCCUGAUGCAGCGACGCCGCGUGAGCGAAGAAGUAUUUCGGUAUGUAAAGCUCUAUCAGCAGGGAAGAAGAAUGACGGUACCUGACUAAGAAGCACCGGCUAAAUACGUGCCAGCAGCCGCGGUAAUACGUAUGGUGCAAGCGUUAUCCGGAUUUACUGGGUGUAAAGGGAGCGCAGGCGGUACGGCAAGUCUGAUGUGAAAUCCCGGGGCUCAACCCCGGUACUGCAUUGGAAACUGUCGGACUAGAGUGUCGGAGGGGUAAGUGGAAUUCCUAGUGUAGCGGUGAAAUGCGUAGAUAUUAGGAGGAACACCAGUGGCGAAGGCGGCUUACUGGACGAUUACUGACGCUGAGGCUCGAAAGCGUGGGGAGCAAAC